UACGGAGGGGGCGAGCGUUAUUCGGAAUUAUUGGGCGUAAAGGGCGCGUAGGCGGGCCCGCCAGUCCGCGGUGAAAUCCCCCGGCUCAACCGGGGGACGGCCGUGGAUACUGCGGGCCUGGAGGGGGGUAGGGGCGCGCGGAACGCCGGGUGGAGCGGUGAAAUGCGUUGAUAUCCGGCGGAACUCCGGUGGCGAAAGCGGCGCGCUGGGCCCCUUCUGACGCUGAGGCGCGAAAGCCAGGGGAGCGAACGGG
rnacentral:rRNA from 1 species